rnacentral:rRNA from 1 species
CCUGGUGUCUAUGGCGAUGUGGCUCCACCCUGACCCUUCCCGAACUCAGGUGUGAAACGCAUCUGCGGCAAAGAUAGUUGGACGGCUGCGUCCCGCAAAAAUAGCUCGAUGCCAGGA